CGUACUUUCAGCAGUCAUAUCUCGAUAACAAUGAACGCGAUACGCGUUGCAAAGCUGAGGUCUUGGAAAAAAAUUAAUUGUUGUAAUAAAAACUACACUAGACAUAAUCGAUUAUCAGAUACGUGAUUGGUGACCUCGAAAAAAUAACACCAAGUGAUAAAACUUAAUGGACCGUAUAUUGGACACAUAACACGUCCCAAGGCAGAGCAAUUUGACAGGGCAUUUGACAGGUCAACCUGUCGUUCAAAAAUGAUAAAAAUCAAGAAUUAGGCCCUGACUUAGCAUUUAAUAAAGGUAUUUUUAUCAAACUGGAUCAGAGAAUUAAUAGAGUGUCGAUGUUAGACGAUGGUAAGAUGUUUUAAAUUAGUUUUUCAUCAAUUAAGAAUAUUUAUGUUGAACUUGUCUGUGCAUAUUCUUGAUUACUGGAAUUUCCUCAACAUUGUGGCCUGAUCCCAGACGGUCAGGACUAAUUCAGGUGGUUCAAAUCAUGAACGAGAGUUCAGAGGCACUAGCUACUCACCCAUAAUAUUGUCAUUCGUGACUCCUGUACAAUUAUUAAAAUUAACCUCAAACAGUGAUUGACUUCCUGAUAAUAUUCUUUCACGGGAAGAAGAGUGCAACAGAAGUUCAAUAUGACAAACGGCUUUUUCGUCACCAGAAUAGAUUCAAAUGGCACAAAUGCACAUCCUCGAGUAUCACAACGGCUGACAUCGGAGAAAAUAGUGGAGGCGGCAGAGUAAGUGUCAACAACAAUGACGAGGCGUCCACAGAUACUCCCCACCCCAAUCACAACUUCACUUACCAAUUGACACGAUGUCAGUGAACAAACUCCAAGCACAGGUCUGUGUCAUAAAUCCGAGGAAUCAACUACAAUUUCUAGGAGGUUGAGCAAGUAAUUAUAUUGAUAGCCAGGACGCACGUACGCCCUCGCCAGAAGGUAGACAAGAAGAGGAUUCAUUCAAAUGCACCAGCUGAGCACAACACCAAGUCUGAUAUGAUUCCAGAGACAGUUGAACAACAAAUCCGGAGAAGGUCAUUAAAUACUUGAAAUGUAGGAUGUGGAUGAAGAAAGAGCUGUCAAUCCUGUGAUCUGAAAAAUGUCUGGCCCACCCCUCCAUCGAAACGGUGGUUUGCUACAUUGUUCUUGGGUACAUCGAAUGUAAAGAAGUCGUGCAUUGAUCACGUGAAAAGAGAAACAAAUAAUUAUGCUGAAUUGCCGGGACCGAUAUAAUCACAUAUCUCGGUUCGCCGAGGCUCCACGGCCUCAUUCUAAUGAUAAGCCAACAAAUGGCCAGAGGGAUGUAGCGCUUAUUCUUCAGGCGAUUGGUGAUAAGGGGCCAUGAGAUUACUUCGUUCACGUUUCCUUAUCGACACACAUACAUUAAUGAUACCAGUGGCUGUUCCACGCAGUUAUAACUUCAGUGCCAAUAGGGUCUAGCGGCUGUCUGAAGUUUCCAAUCGUUCACGAACUUUCAAAGCCUUGAUGCAUAUUUUUCUGAGCUUAUAUAACACAUAAAUAUUGGAAACAGAUCAUAAAAUAAUUUUCGAAUAAUUCUAAAAUCAGUUGUAUCCACUGUAAUUGUACAAAAAUCAAACUUCUGUAUCCUGGAAGUCAGAAAAUCUAGCAAAAACUCCGUUGAAGUCUUUCCGUUUCCCAGAGAUAAGGUUACCAAGAGCUAGAUAAUGGCAUCGAGAGUCUAGACAGUUAAUUAUAUGAGCUGCGUCCUUUAAACGUCUCGCAUGCAGUUACACGAGCGGUGUAGAUAACUCAUACGUACAUAUCGAUUUUUUCCCGUUGUACUUAUGUCAUAGUAUGUAAAUGUAUGCCCCAUAGUAUCAUUUGUUGGUGAGAAAAUAAAAUUAAAGGGUCAUUGUAGUCACAAUGGUUAUUAAAUGAUUCAGGCCCGCCGGCUGAGGGGGGAGGGUCGGGUCUGAACUCUUAAUGCCAUUCAUUAACUAUCAACAAAU